rnacentral:rRNA from 1 species
UAUCCCCCCUGUGUGCCUUGUUCCUACGACUACGCUAUCACUCCUACGGGAGGCAGCAGUGGGGAAUAUUGCACAAUGGGCGCAAGCCUGAUGCAGCCAUGCCGCGUGUAUGAAGAAGGCCUUCGGGUUGUAAAGUACUUUCAGCAGUGAGGAAGGCGGAGUCGUUAAUAGCGGCCUCGUUUUGACGUUAGCUGCAGAAGAAGCACCGGCUAACUCCGUGCCAGCAGCCGCGGUAAUACGGAGGGUGCGAGCGUUAAUCGGAAUUACUGGGCGUAAAGCGCAUGCAGGUGGUUUGUUAAGUCAGAUGUGAAAGCCCGGGGCUCAACCUCGGAAUUGCAUUUGAAACUGGCAGACUAGAGUACUGUAGAGGGGGUAGAAUUUCAGGUGUAGCGGUGAAAUGCGUAGAGAUCUGAAGGAAUACCGGUGGCGAAGGCGGCCCCCUGGACAGAUACUGACACUCAGAUGCGAAAGCGUGGGGAGCAAACAGGAUUAGAUACCCUGGUAG